rnacentral:rRNA from 1 species
UGGGGAAUAUUGGACAAUGGGCGAAAGCCUGAUCCAGCCAUGCCGCGUGUAUGAAGAAGGUCUUCGGAUUGUAAAGCACUUUAAGUUGGGAGGAAGGGCAGUAAGCGAAUACCUUGCUGUUUUGACGUUACCGACAGAAUAAGCACCGGCUAACUCUGUGCCAGCAGCCGCGGUAAUACAGAGGGUGCAAGCGUUAAUCGGAAUUACUGGGCGUAAAGCGCGCGUAGGUGGUUCGUUAAGUUGAAUGUGAAAGCCCCGGGCUCAACCUGGGAACUGCAUCCAAAACUGGCGAGCUAGAGUAGGGCAGAGGGUGGUGGAAUUUCCUGUGUAGCGGUGAAAUGCGUAGAUAUAGGAAGGAACACCAGUGGCGAAGGCGACCACCUGGGCUCAUACUGACACUGAGGUGCGAAAGCGUGGGGAGCAAACAGG